rnacentral:rRNA from 1 species
GACGAACGCUGGCGGCGUGCUUAACACAUGCAAGUCGAACGGAAAGGCCCUGCUCUUGUGGGGUGCUCGAGUGGCGAACGGGUGAGUAACACGUGAGUAACCCGUCCCUGACUUUGGGAUAACUUCACGAAACUGGGGCUAAUACCGGAUAGGAGCUCCUGCUGCAUGGUGGGGGUUGGAAAGUUUCGGCGGUUGGGGAUGGACUCGCGGCUUAUCAGCUUGUUGGUGGAGUAGUGGCUUACCAAGGCUUUGACGGGUAGCCGGCCUGAGAGGGUGACCGGCGACAUUGGUACUAAGAGACGGCCCAGACUGCUACGGGACGCAACAGUGGGGAAUAUGGCACAAUGGGCGGGAGCCUGAUGCAGCAACGCCGCGUGCGGGAUGACGGCCUUCGGGUUGUAAACCGCUUUCGCCUGUGACGAAGCGUGAGUGACGGUAAUGGAUAAAGAAGCACCGGCUAACUACGUG